rnacentral:rRNA from 1 species
UACGGGGGGUGCAAGCGUUGUUCGGAUUUAUUGGGCGUAAAGCGCGUGUAGGCGGUUUGUUAAGUCUGAUGUGAAAGCCCUGGGCUCAACCCAGGAAGUGCAUUGGAAACUGGCAGACUUGAAUACGGGAGAGGGUAGUGGAAUUCCGAGUGUAGAGGUGAAAUUCGUAGAUAUUCGGAAGAACACCAGUGGCGAAGGCGGCUGCCUGGACCGAUAUUGACGCUGAGACGCGAAAGCGUGGGUAGCAAACAGG